rnacentral:tRNA from 3 species
GCCGAUGUAGCUCAGUUGGCCAGAGCUACUGAUUUGUAAUCAGUGGGUCGGGGGUUCGAAUCCCUCCAUCGGCUC